AGAGAUUCAAAUACAUCAUGAAUUCUCUCAAGAAGCUUUCCUCUCUCAGAGUCAUCUGAUAAUGGCCAGCUUUCAAUAGAAUAUGCCAGAGAUUCUUCUUUGCCAUUGCAUUCUCUACACUCAGAAUCUGCUCCUCCAUCAGUAUCCUUACCUCCAUUACUGCUUUCGCUGAAUCCAUCUCCUACGUUUUCCUUCUCUGGAGAAGAAUCACACGCAUCCUUGUAAUCCUCACAAUCGCCGUCAUGAUUUUCAAGGGAACAGUCGUUGACAGGCUCUGGAUCCUGGAAUUUCCGUUGAUGCCCGAGCAUCUUAGCUGCAGAAGAAACAUCCAAUGGUUUCC
rnacentral:lncRNA from 1 species